ACGCUCGACACCUACGGGAGGCAGCAGUUGGGAAUAUUGGACAAUGGAGGAAACUCUGAUCCAGUGACGCCGCGUGAAGGAAGAAGGUCUUCGGAUUGUAAACUUAUUUUGUCAGGGAAGAAAAAUGACUGUACCUGAAGAAAAAGCACCGGCUAACUACGUGCCGGCAGCCGCAGUAAUCUGAGCGGGCUGGCAAGGC
rnacentral:rRNA from 1 species